AAGGAUAUGUUGGACAGGUACUUCAAGGGUGAGGAUUUCCCUGCGUUUGGGCUGCAAGUGCUCAUAUUAUAAUUGUUGUUAUUGGUUCAAGCGUUUUAUCUUUGGCUUGCUAUUGCUCAACUUGGUUGGAUUGAUGAUUUUGAUCAAAUUUGAUGGCUUUCAAUUGUUGUUGUUGUACUUUCUUUCACCUGCUCGACGAACGGUCUAGGUUUAGGCAUUGCUCAAGUAGCAGAAACUAAAAAAUUGGAGGAAGUUUAACUGGAGUUAGCAUUGGAACUGUGACUGAAAUGCAAAAAGUUUGGAGAACUUUACAAGCACUGUGAGCUAUUGCUUUUGCCAAUUCUUACUCCCUCAUCCUUAUGGAGAUUCAGG